rnacentral:rRNA from 1 species
GACGAACGCUGGCGGCGUGCUUAACACAUGCAAGUCGAGCGGUAAGGCCCUUUCGGGGUACGACGAGCGGCGAACGGGUGAGUAACACGUGGGUGACCUGCCCUCCAGCUCUGGGAGUAAGCCUGGGAAACCGGGUCGUAAUACCGGAUAUGACUCCAUGACGCAUGUUGUGGGGUGGAAAGCCUUGUGCGGCUGAGGAUGGGCCCGCGGCCUAUCAGCUUGUUGGUGGGGUGAUGGCCUACCAAGGCGACGACGGGUAGCCGGCCUGAGAGGGCGACCGGCCACACUGGGACUGAGACACGGCCCAGACUCCUACGGGAGGCAGCAGUGGGGAAUCUUGCGCAAUGGGCGAAAGCCUGACGCAGCGACGCCGCGUGA